GACGUAGGGGGCCAGCGUUGUUCGGAAUUACUGGGUGUAAAGGGCACGUAGGCGGUGAAUCGGGUUGAAAGUGAAAGUCGCCAAAAAGUGGCGGAAUGCUCUCGAAACCAAUUCACUUGAGUGAGACAGAGGAGAGUGGAAUUUCGUGUGUAGGGGUGAAAUCCGUAAAUAUACGAAGGAACGCCAAAAGCGAAGGCAGCUCUCUGGGUCCCUACCGACGCUGGGGUGCGAAAGCAUGGGGAGCGAACAGG
rnacentral:rRNA from 1 species